rnacentral:lncRNA from 1 species
AACAGGAGGGAAAACGUGGAAAAAUGAUAAGGGUGUGUGUGUGUUUCUUUGGCGGAAGGUGUGUUGGACACCUUUCAUGUACACAAAGUAAGGCAGGGCUCGUGGUUUUCAUUUCCCCAACACCUGGAUGCAGUCAAACACCUGGCCAAAUCUGACAAAAUCUGACAAGCCUUUGUGAUGGGAUUUGGAAGAAAUUCCCUGCAGAUCCUGGCACAGUUUAAAGCUGUCCGCUUUGAGUUAGGACUUGUUAAGGAGGGUUAUGUGAGCUGAAACCCGAGACAACCCUUUUGCUUCUAUCUGGAGCCCACAUCUUGCCUGGAAAUGGGGCAUGACCAAGCGAAGGGGUCGCUUGCUGUUUGUAUUAAAAGGGGAAGAUGGCCUGUGUGCCUGCCAGCACAGCCCCCACAUGCUUUCUCUAUUAGAGCCAAGCACAGAAACUUAUCAAAAACACAUGUCUGGUGUUAAUCAUCUGGGCUCGGCCUCCACUUGGGAGUCUAACUAACUGUCCCUUGGCAGAAGGAAUCUGUUGACCUUUUCAGCUUGCUUUAAGAGGGUGCGGAGAGGAAACUUUUGGGUGCUAGGGAACGUCUUAUUUGAACCAAAGGAUUGGCUAAUUAAUGAAGACCCCAAGUCUUGAAGGAGGCGCAGCAGUUGGAAGUGUUUUUGCUUUGGAUGCUGGUGAGCUACCCUGAGAGGAGAGCUGCAGGAACCACCCUUAACGUGCAAUGGGCAAUAGGAUUGGAUCCAUUAGCUUCGUGAAUUUAGUCCUGUUCAAUCUUCCUCAGGAGGAGCUAGAAGAACAAGGGCUGCAGAC